AAGUCGUAACAAGGUUUCCGUAGGUGAACCUGCGGAAGGAUCAUUAACACGUAUCCAAACGUUAACCCCCCUGUGAACCUUUAGUGUGCUCGUACGCUUUGUCAGAGCGUGGCAAUCCCUAGUAAAUCAUCGCCGAACAGUUUUCGAUUUAGGGACUUCCACAAAGAGUGUGCUCGUAGCGCGAGGCAAGUGGCCUGAAAGUGUCACUGGCUGUGUAGGAUGGCGCAGUCACGAUCGUUGGAGGCCGACACGGCCGACGACCGGGUCACCGCCCCUUAAUCACAACUUAAUGCAUGUCAGACGCUUGAUUGUGCGGCGGCCGUAGGGCUCGGGCGGCUGUUGGCGGUGGGUCUCUUGGUUCUC
rnacentral:misc_RNA from 1 species